rnacentral:lncRNA from 1 species
ACAUGUUUCUAUGAAGUGUUAAGUUGACUUGUUAGUCUGUCUUUCGUCUGUUGUUAUUUGCAAUAGCUUUGUCAGUUUCUCAGAAAUUUCAUCCUUAAUAUGUUAGUUCCUUUUGAGACUACACUAUUUUGUGGUUUAAAGGUCUACACAGUUAAAACAUGCCGAAUAAAAAACAUCCUUCAUGGACAGGCUGUAACUUUUACAUGUAAAAUAUUUUAAAAAGUUAUAGCUAUGGACAAAUCCUUAUAAACAUCUACAUACCACAUGCAAGUUCAAGCACAAGUCAUUUUGUAAAACUUAUGCACACAAAAUACAUGACGAUGAUGAUACACAUAAAAUAAUUUCAUAUUCAGGGUGAGCACAUUUUCGAAAUGAAUAUUAAUCCUGCUUUGAACAAGACCGACACGAAAGGGCAGAUUUCUGAAACGCUAGAAACGGCAAAUACCAAUUUUGAUAUAAAAAUAAAAAAAUGUUGCAUGGUUGCAAAUAGGAAAACUCGCUUCCAAGAUACCAAAAUGACUUAGUAGUUAGCAAUUAUAGGUCACCGAAAUAAACCUAAUCAUCCAAGAAAAACCAAAGGUAUGAUUUAUGUAAAAAAAAGAAUGAACCGAGAAAAAAACGGCAACCACUGAACAACUGGUCUAGAUUGAAACAGCCGGGAUCAAUCCAUGACCUCAGGGUUCCAAUCCACGACCUCCCGCACUCAAGGCGAGCCUGCUACAAAGAGACCACACGAGGAAGUAAAAAGUAAAAUCACAAAAAUACUGAACUCCGAGGAAAAUUCAAAACGGAAAGUCCCUAACCAAAAGCACAAACACUUCAAACGAAUAGACAGCAAUUGUCAUAUUCCUAAUUUGGUACAGGCAUUUUCUUAUGUAGAAAAUAGUGGAUUAAACCUUGUUUUUAAGCUAGCUAAAAAUCUCUCUUGUAUGACAGUCACAUCAAAUUCCAUUAAUCUAUAUUGUCAACGAUGUAUGAACAAAACAGACACAAUAGGUAAAGAUGUCAUACAACACAAACACCACCGAAAAGUGGGGUCAAUAUCAGGUACUGCCGAAGUGUAAGCAGAUCUUGAUUCACAUGUGAUAUACAGAAACAAACAUCUGGUCUGGAUUGUCCUUCCAACAGACAAAUCUUCAAACAAAUGACAAUGUUUUAUGAGCGAAAAUCAUUUUUUGGAAAGUUAACCUUACCAAAUUGGCACUCACAGAAAAAAACUAAAUCCUACAUAAAGACCUACGCCGUUCAAAGAUUUUAGAAUAUCACAAACACGUGCAUCUUUCCUAUUGACUUAAAAAUAGGAUGAUAACAAUCUCCAGUCUUUAUAGUUGAUACCUAUGCUUUCCUAAUAGACCUUUUCAACAACUCUCGACACCGACAAAUGACACCUACAGUUUACAGGUAAAUUUGAGGGGUCGUCUCAAUGACAAAAACAUCAUGAUUAUCAUAUGCACUGUCUUUAACCUAUAGCUACAGAAGAUAUAUAAAACCAAAAAAAAAUGAUAAAUAUGUUUCUCUCUGUCAUAUACUAUUCUUAUUAUAUGUAUUUACACUAC